CCCUCCUCAAGAGAAGAUGACUGUGCCUUUCAAAUGCUGCCAAAUCCUGGGCUUUGGUGUGCUCUGUGUGCUACCAGAAGAGAGCGUGACAUUGGAAAAUGAGGAACUCGAGAUCCCAAAGCUCCAAGGAAUGUAGUCUGUCAGAGCCAAGGGUCUUGGAAGGAAGAGUCCCCAUUGUCCCUUUCCCUUUCCUUUUCCCUUUCGCUUUCCUUUUCCCUCCGCAAGCGAAGAUGGCUGUACUCUGAAGGCAGGUGGAGGCAGGGACAAGGGUCAGGAGCCAGGACAGAAUGGUUUCUUUGUUGCUCGUUGGAAGGAAGGACUGUGUUUAGUGCAGACGGAUUUGCCAUAGUGUUUCUUACAGGGACUGACAGUGGGGUGAGAUGUGCCCUGAAGUGGGCAUGCUUGCCAGUAGGCAAAGGAGAAAUGCAAAUCAUGCCAGGGAAGAAGGAGCGGGCGAGGAGACAGGGGCUCGCCUUCUGGAUGCAGACGAUCUGCCUCAUCCUGGUCUGCCUCCAGCUGCUACUCGUUGUCGUGCUGGGCUCUGCAGUACUGUACGCCCAGCACUAUGACCAGGAGCUCUUCUAUUGGCUCCUGCCUUGAGUGCUGCCCCAGACAACAUUUGCUUCCCUGGUGUACUUUACAAGCAGUACCCUGCGUGUGGUCUGUGAUGGGCUGCUGCCCAUCUGACCGCCCUGCUCAGUAACCCUUCCCAGCUCGGGGCUGCGCGGUGGGGCGUGGGGAGAGGGGUCUGUCCCCACGGAAGGGGCCUCUCCUGUGCUCCUGCCCCCCAGAGGUGCACAGGCACAGCUGUGGGCAGUGUGGGCAGGCAGCCGAGUGCCACCGCUUUGGACUUAUCAGUAAGUUUCUACUGUCGUCGUGAGUCGUUGCCAGCUGAACAGCACCACCUGCGACAACCCAUCAGACUGAAGAUCCACACCUGACACCGGGACGUGGCUGGAUCUACGAGUGCUUUGCUGUCUGUCUGUCCCUCUUUCCCCAUUUUCUGCCUUUUCUCUUUGCCAUCUCUUAUUUGACUCUUUGUUUACCUCUACCACUUAUUCAUUGCAAAUAGCCCAUUGGCCAGUGUUACCUCCAAUUGGUUGUUGCUGGCUGUUAAGAAAGCUCUCAAAAAAUGGAUGUGUAUUAUUCCUCUGAGUUUGGAUGACUCCAUUGCAGUAGUGACCCUUUGCUGACCAGGGGAGGCGCGACUCAGGAGGUGGACAGAGAUUCACCCCCUCAAGACACACUGAAUGGGACGAGACGUAGCUAGGAGGAGAAAUGGGAUGAGCAGUGUCCCUCUGCGCACAGACGUCUGCUGCUGCGUCUGCACAGAUCUCUUGUGCUCAGUGGAGUUUGUCCAUGAAGGCUGCAGCAAAGAAAAAGUGUCUCUGCUAGGGAGUCCUGGAGAGGCAU
rnacentral:lncRNA from 1 species